rnacentral:rRNA from 1 species
CUGGCUCAGGAUGAAUGCUAGCGGCAGGCUUAACACAUGCAAGUCGAGGGGCAUCGGGAGGGAAGCUUGCUUUCCUUGCCGGCGACCGGCGCACGGGUGAGUAACACGUAUGCAACCUGCCCUCUUCAGGGGGACAACCUUCCGAAAGGGAGGCUAAUCCCGCGUAUAUCGGUUUCGGGCAUCCGAGAUCGAGGAAAGAUUCAUCGGAAGAGGAUGGGCAUGCGGCGCAUUAGCUAGACGGCGGGGUAACGGCCCACCGUGGCGACGAUGCGUAGGGGUUCUGAGAGGAAGGUCCCCCACACUGGUACUGAGACACGGACCAGACUCCUACGGGAGGCAGCAGUGAGGAAUAUUGGUCAAUGGGAGAGAUCCUGAACCAGCCAAGCCGCGUGAGGGAAGACGGCCCUAUGGGUUGUAAACCUCUUUUGUCGGAGAACAAAACCCGGGACGUGUCCCGGACUGCGUGUAUCCGAAGAAAAAGCAUCGGCUAACUCCGUGCCAGCAGCCGCGGUAAUACGGAGGAUGCGAGCGUUAUCCGGAUUUAUUGGGUUUAAAGGGUGCGUAGGCGGUCCGUUAAGUCAGCGGUAAAAUUGCGGGGCUCAACCCCGUCGAGCCGUUGAAACUGGCAGACUUGAGUUGGCGAGAAGUACGCGGAAUGCGCGGUGUAGCGGUGAAAUGCAUAGAUAUCGCGCAGAACUCCGAUUGCGAAGGCAGCGUACCGGCGCCAGACUGACGCCGAGGCACGAAAGCGUGGGGAUCGAACAGGAUUAGAUACCCUGGUAGUCCACGCAGUAAACGAUGAAUGCUGGUUGUCCGGGUCGAAUGAGAUCUGGGCGGCGAAGCGAAAGCGAUAAGCAUUCCACCUGGGGAGUACGCCGGCAACGGUGAAACUCAAAGGAAUUGACGGGGGCCCGCACAAGCGGAGGAACAUGUGGUUUAAUUCGAUGAUACGCGAGGAACCUUACCCGGGCUCAAACGGGAGUGGAAUGGACCAGAGACGGUUCAGCCUACGGGCCGCUUCCGAGGUGCUGCAUGGUUGUCGUCAGCUCGUGCCGUGAGGUGUCGGCUUAAGUGCCAUAACGAGCGCAACCCCCGCCGGCAGUUGCUAACGGGCAAUGCCGAGGACUCUGCCGGGACUGCCGCCGCAAGGCGUGAGGAAGGCGGGGAUGACGUCAAAUCAGCACGGCCCUUACGUCCGGGGCGACACACGUGUUACAAUGGGCGGUACAGCGGGAAGCCAGGCGGCGACGCCGAGCGGAACCCGAAAGCCGUUCUCAGUUCGGAUCGGAGUCUGCAACCCGACUCCGUGAAGCUGGAUUCGCUAGUAAUCGCGCAUCAGCCAUGGCGCGGUGAAUACGUUCCCAGGCCUUGUACACACCGCCCGUCAAGCCAUGGGAGCCGGGGGUGCUUGAAGUGCGUCGCCGUGAGGCGCGCCCUAGAGCAAAACUCGGUGACUGGGGCUAAGUCGUAACAAGGUA